rnacentral:rRNA from 1 species
CAGCAGCCGCGGGAAUACAGAGGGUGCGAGCGUUAAUCGGAAUUACUGGGCGUAAAGCGUGCGUAGGCGGUUUGUUAAGUCUGCUGUGAAAUCCCCGGGCUCAACCUGGGAAUGGCAGUGGAUACUGGCAAGCUAGAGUGUGUCAGAGGAUGGUGGAAUUCCCGGUGUAGCGGUGAAAUGCGUAGAGAUCGGGAGGAACAUCAGUGGCGAAGGCGGCCAUCUGGGACAACACUGACGCUGAGGCACGAAAGCGUGGGGAGCAAACAGGAUUAGAUACCCCAGUAGUCCCUGUCUCUUAUAC